rnacentral:rRNA from 1 species
GACGAACGCUGGCGGCGUGCUUAACACAUGCAAGUCGAACGGAAAGGCCCUGCUUUUGUGGGGUGCUCGAGUGGCGAACGGGUGAGUAACACGUGAGUAACCUGCCCUUGACUUUGGGAUAACUUCAGGAAACUGGGGCUAAUACCGGAUAGGAGCUCCUGCUGCAUGGGGGUGGUUGGAAAGUUUCGGCGGUUGGGGAUGGAUUCGCGGCUUAUCAGCUUGUUGGUGGGGUAGUGGCUUACCAAGGCUUUGACGGGUAGCCGGCCUGAGAGGGUGACCGGCCACAUUGGGACUGAGAUACGGACCAGACUCCUACGGGAGGCAGCAGUGGGGAAUAUUGCACAAUGGGCGGACGCCUGAUGCAGCAACGCCGCGUGCGGGAUGACGGCCUUCGGGUUGUAAACCGCUUUCGCCUGUGACGAAGCGUGAGUGACGGUAAUGGGUAAAGAAGCACCGGCUAACUACGUG